rnacentral:rRNA from 1 species
UACGUAGGGUGCGAGCGUUAAUCGGAAUUACUGGGCGUAAAGCGUGCGCAGGCGGUUUUGUAAGCCAGAUGUGAAAUCCCCGGGCUUAACCUGGGAAUGGCAUUUGGGACUGCAAGGCUGGAGUGCGGCAGAGGAGACUGGAAUUCCUGGUGUAGCAGUGAAAUGCAUAGAUAUCAGGAGGAACACCGAUGGCGAAGGCAGGUCUCUGGGCUGACACUGACGCUCAUGCACGAAAGCGUGGGGAGCAAACAGG